rnacentral:lncRNA from 1 species
UUUUUUUUAAAAAUUAAAUUUAAAUAAAUUAUAAGAAUAUUAAAAAAAGAAAAAAAAAGGAUUAAUAAGAUUUAACUAUAUAAUAUUUCAAAGUCAAAGAGAUAAAUUCAAUGUUUUAGAAAUCGUAUUGGACCUGUCGAUUGAACCGAUCGAAUAAAAAAUCAAAGGGGUCAUUGGUAUGGAUCGAUAGGUGGAUCAGAUAACUUAUUAAUCAGUGAGAAUUGACCAAACCAAUCAAAUCGGUAAAAAUUGAAGAAUCGACGAUUUUUAUAAAUCGACGGAAUAACGACUUGCUCUUUUUCACAAAACACGACGCCGUUUUGAUAAAAAAAAUUAAAAUAUAAAAAGAUUUUGCUUAAAACUUAAUUGGAA